CCCCCGGUCGGUGCCGCGGCACGGGGCAAGCGGGGCCGUGUCCGUGCGCUGCCUCAGGGCUCCCGUGUGGGAGCCAGCUGCCUCCUGCUCGGCAUGGCAGAGCCGGCAGCAUCGAGCACCGGUGGCCGAACGGGUGAGCAGAGGAAAAUCAAGCCCCAGGAAACCCUCUCUGAACAUCAGCACCUGUUACCGGACCUGCCUCAGCACAGAAAUUAAGGGUAGAAUACACACACAGAUGAACCAGUCUUUCUGCAGAUGCGAGUGAGCCAAUUAAUGAUUUACAGUGUUUUGAAGGAAACCAUCAGCAUCCAGAGUGCAGACAACAGCAGGAGAACAAAGAGCUCACAUUCAAUUGAGGAUCCUUCAGGAAGUUGUGAGUGUUGACAUAGUCAGUUAAGGUGUUGUUAUGAGCACUUCUUUUAAACGUGGAAAGCAGAGCAUUAGUAACAGUAUGAAGUUUCUUUAUUCUUUUGUCUGAGCUCCAGAGUUACAUAUGCUAAAAGAACUUGUAAAUUAAAAGGUACACAUUGUAUACAAAUUAAUAAAAAUACAGCCCUAACUUACA